UAAGUAUUCCGCCUGGGGAGUACGGUCGCAAGAUUAAAACUCAAAGGAAUUGACGGGGACCCGCACAAGCAGCGGAGCAUGUGGUUUAAUUCGAAGCAACGCGAAGAACCUUACCUAGACUUGACAUCUCCUGAAUUACUCGUAAUGGAGGAAGCCCUUCGGGGCAGGAAGACAGGUGGUGCAUGGUUGUCGUCAGCUCGUGUCGUGAGAUGUUGGGUUAAGUCCCGCAACGAGCGCAACCCUUAUCGUUAGUUGCUACCAUUAAGUUGAGCACUCUAACGAGACUGCCGCGGUUAACGUGGAGGAAGGUGGGGAUGACGUCAAAUCAUCAUGCCCCUUAUGUCUAGGGCUACACACGUGCUACAAUGGCCGGUACAACGAGAUGCAAACCCGUGAGGGGGAGCCAAACUUCAAAGCCGGUCCCAGUUCGGAUUGUAGGCUGAAACUCGCCUACAUGAAGUCGGAGUGGCUAGUGAUCGCGAAUCAGCAUGUCGCGGGGAAUACGUUCCCGGGUCUUGUACUCACCGCCCGUCACACCAUGAGAGCCGGUAACACCCGAAGUCCGUGAGGUAACCU
rnacentral:ncRNA from 1 species